UGUUUCUUGAAAAUGUCUAGGUAUGGUGACCGCCACUUCUCUGGGCAGCCUGUGCCACUGCCUCACUGCUCCUUCUGAGAAGGAUUUUUUCCUAAUACCCAACCUGAACCUCCCUUGUCACAACUUAAAGGCAUUACCUCUUUUCCUAGGAAGGAGAGAAAGGAAGAAAGAAGGGAAGAAAGGAAGGUAGGAAGAAGAAAAAAGAGAAAGAGAAAAGAGAAAGCACUGUAGGAAUACCAUGCCAGGUAGAGUCCAUGGUGAGCGGUGGUAUUGAUGUGGAGAAGGCCAGACUGUUAGGAUCUGAGUUGGAAGAGAAAUUACUGCCCAUUAAAGGGAAAGCAAAGGUGAAGUUGAAGCAAAUGAAAUGGUUGAGAUGUUGUGCAUGAGCAGCCUACCACCACAGGUGCCAGAUUAACAGCCCUGGAGACUUUCUGUUCCAAGGACAUCCAAAGGACCAGCAGUGAGAGUCCAGUUUUUGCCAUGCUGCCCUUGCAACGUGACAUUGAUGUGACUGUACUGACCAAAGGAGAAAGUAGCUCAGAUUGUUCAGGUCAGAGUGUUCAGGCUGCAAACACUACUGAGAGGACAUUGUUCUUUGCCUGAUGUACCUACUUACUGCAAAACGCUGUGUACACUGCUGUAUAAAUAACAUCUCUGAAAAAAAAAAAUGAAUAAUUGAAAAGGAUGGAAAACUUUGUUCAGUUAGUUGACCGAAAUAAUCUAGUAGAAGCUGUAUGAGAACAGAAUCUACCAGGACAACAUUUUCUGAGCUUAUCUCUGAAGAAUUAAUGUUGGCAGUUCUGUCUGGAGUUCUAUACAGAUACAAGCAAGUCAACACACAACUUUGGAGAUGACAAGAAGAUGACAACAAAGCAGGGAGCCCUGCUACAGGUGGAGCUCAUCUUGAUGAUGCCUGUAUCUAAAACUCUUCGACAGCUGGAAUUCCUGUUAAAAGAACUGGUUUGUAGUCCAGUGUGAGGAAGAAGUUGUUGUUUCCAAAUGGGCCAAAUGGUUUCAUUUUCUACUGAGGUCAUGAAGUGUUUGGCAGUUGUUUUUCCACAUGGGGUUGUUUUCAGCUUUCCAAGUCCUGCUGAUGAAGGUGCAAGCACUUCUUGUAGGUAGAACUUGCUGUCCCACUGUCUGCUAUGGCAUGAAGAUUGGACGACAAGGAUUUCUAAGGAAGACCCUUCAGAGCUGAAGAGAGCCCCGAGUGACCAGACUUGCAGCUAGCUACCCAUGACUAAGUGCCUAAAUUUAGAUGUUCAUCAUCAUCAGUGUUGCAAGAUACUGUAAAGAUUGAUCCCCGAGAGGCUGACCCCUGAAGGACCUGGUGGGAUACCUGUUAGGACGGGCCAUGUUGAAGCCUCACAACUCCAUCUCCUGGUAUUGGAUGCUGAAGAGAAGACCUGUCUCAGAAAAAGGGAGCAAAGAUUUGUGGCCUUUAAAACACUGCCUCAAUACGCUGUGCAAACCCUUAUUGUGAUAAUAAUUGUCUUUCUUUUGGAAUUUGUGUACAGAACACUAAAUAUAGGAAGGAGCUCUCUGACAACUCACCUGUUUGAGCAGGGCUGCAGAAUGCAGUUUGGAAGAACAGUGCUCCACCAUUCAAGACAUGUUGGUUUGGAAGAAAGUUCUGUCUUGAGGUGGGACAGGAAAACUGCUGAAGUGUUUCAUAGCCAAUGCUCAUUUUCCUUCUUUUGUCUGAAGACAGUGAUGUUGUCCUCUUAUCCUGCUAGAAAACUAAAGCUUACAUCACUUCCAGCUUGCAAGCUAAGUGCAUAUAUGCAUAAAAUUCUAAAUGCCUUAAGAAACAGUAAUGUCAUGGCAUGGGAGGUUUAUAAAAAAUAUAAAACAGCUCAGAAAGGGUUAUUGUGAAAUGAUUAAUGCCUCUGACACUUCCAGUUACAAGACCUAGGAGACAUAUAAUUACAUCAGUAGGUGGAAAGUUCAAAAUGAUGGAGGUGUUUUUACAUAUCAUGUGGAUAAUCUGCAUAACCCCUUGAGUCUGGAGGCUGUGAAUACUGAGAAUUCACAUGGCUUCAAAAAAACAACCAGAGAAAUUCAAUGAAGAAACCACCAGCAUCCAUUAAAAGUAAAGACAACACCCCUUGUUCAGAAAGUCUGAGCUGCACGUUCUUGAGGCAGGGAAAGAAGCUGGGGGAAAGAUGACUCCCUUCUUCCCUCUUGUGCUGUUCAGCUGCUGUUGGCAACAGUCAGGAACAUGGCACAGCACACAACAAACCCAUGGUCUGACUCAGUAAAACUCGUCUUGCAUUCUUAUGUCAUGCUACAUUAUUGAAUAGAAUCAUAAAACUACUCUAAAGACCCACUGUAGCUGAGAAAGAUGAGGGGCUGGAGAACCUGCUCCAUGACUAAUUUCUUUACUUUGGUUGUUCAUUGGAGUGGUUUUUUACACCAUAAGUGUUGUAGGUCUGGACCAUUAUGUAUUUCUUUUUCAAUCAUUGCUGAAAUCUUAAGGAAUUUUCUAAGGUGUGGCAGUGGUUGAAUAGAAACCUCACAGUUUCCCCAGGGUUUUUUCACAAAGAUCCAUGGCACGUACAAGCAUCUUGAAAUGGAGCAUCCAUUUGUUUGAUUAUGCUCCAAGCCAACAAAAGAGCCAGAUAAAGCUAGAACAAUUUGCAUUAUCUGAAGCUUACAUAUAUGUAAUCUUGUCAAAUAAAAGCCACAACAAGCUUAGUAGAACAAAGGACAGAGGGAGCUCCUUAUGCUGGUUGUAGAGGGAACAGCUAAAGCCUUGAUCCCUCCUAUCAAAGGCAGUAUGUUCAAAAAAGCUGGGAAAGAUGCCCAUGUUCAAGCAAAUUUUUACUUGCCUGUAACAUAAAGCAAGUUAUUGUCAUGGUAAAGUAACAGGCUUUAAAAAUGGUAGAAAUGUGCAUAGAUGUAUAUGUAUAUACUCAUAUGUUAUAUACACAUGUAGUUAUUAUCCCUUACAAGAGGAAAGCAUAUUAUAAUAUGAUUACCCACAUUGAGGGGCUGCUGGAGAGCUCGAAGCUCUCUGUGUUCUUGCAGUUGCAGAGCUCUCCGCUGCAGCCCAAAGGUCCUUCCCACUGUAUGCUCUUUGCCUUCCUAAAUUCAAAUCUAUUGCUUUAAAAAGAAGUUACUUUGCAAAGCACAAAGAUGUAUUUUAAUAAAAUAGUUCUAACCAAAUUGCUGACGGCAGGACAAUUCUGCAGCUUCACAAUAGGAACUGUAGGGUUCCUGCUGCCUGAUAAACACAUGAUAAAUUGCAAACCUCCUGCUUCUAUCCCACAAGCUCAGAGUGUUGAGUGAUCACCAUUGUUUCUCUGAUUUAUUUUCAUGCCUACUGGUGCCCAUAUAAAAUCUCAGUCUAUUUAUGCUCAGGCUUCCUCCAAUUUUUUCAUGGAUUAUGUAGCACAACGAUCAGAUUGACAAUUAAUGUAAACAUAUAUCACGGAUGUGAAUUACAUUUUAAUUCUCUGAGUCCAUCACAUCUGUCAUCUCUAUCUGUGUGAUUGCCUUAGCUAUGUGACUAUUAACUCCACCAGCACGGCUCUAGAGAACUGUUUGCUCAGGCUUCCACAAGGCCUGGGUCUGCAGAGUUCUUAUAUUUACAUAAAUGAAAAAUCUUCUGGUUUCACCCAAAUUUUGCAUUGUUGUUCAUGUGAAAAAAGUAAGGGGUUAAACCUGUUGCUGUUGCUUGAGUAUGCCUGGAAGAUACCCUCAAGCACUGGUAACACAAAAGGACUUGUUUUCACCCAGAUCUCACAGCUCUUUCAACAGAUCCUUGGGGGCAGUGGUUGCUGGACUUUCACCACUGUUUAGACAAGGAAUUCGUGGAAUUUCGAUUAUUUGCAUGUAACUUUGGGGGAUCUUAACCAAAGUCCACUGAACAUAAGAGCCUGAUAAUGGCUGAGAUAGGAUUUGCUUACAGCUCAAGAGUGAAUUUCUUUGCCUUGAGCACUGUGAAAUCUUAAUUGAUCAGAUUAAAAAAUGCCAUCAUAAGAAAAACAAGAAGUAGAAAAGAGUAUGUAUCUGCAGACAUAGGGGCCUACAUGAGACCCUUGCAGUGCUAGCCAGUCUUUGUCUAAACUGCAACCCUGCCAGGCCAUAGGAAUAAUUUGAUGGCUUUUGUUCCUCAAUAAAGAGACUUGAACACCUUUGAACCUAGAAAAAAAGAACACAUCAACGAUUUCUUUCCAAGAUCCAUCAGUUAACCAGUUUUUAAUCUAUUUAGUAUGUGCUUCAGUGAUUCAGUUAAAUGUUUUAAUCGGGAUGUCAUGUUGUAUUAAGUGAAAGAACCUGUGGAAAUCUGUGUGUGUUAUGUCAGCUGUCACUUUUUAUUAACUAAGGCCUACCAAAAAUGCUAGCAAUAUUUUUCUGGUAAGUGCUAACAUUUAAAAAUUUACAUUUCACAAGGAUCCUAUUGCUCUCAUUAAAGAGUGCUGAUAGUGUUCACUGCAUCUGCAUCCCACAUUCAUCAAUUCUUUACAGUAACAUGCUCAAUAUAUGCUAUGGUUUUGCUCAGGAUCAAUGCUAGCCUAACAAGCCUGCCAUUAGCCAUGUAAUACCUUUUAGGCUUUAGAGCCCUUGCCCACCAUUAACAUUUCAGCUAUUCAAAUGCAUGCAUCGUUGUGCAGCAUCAAACACAGAGUACUUCCAUGAAAAGGUACAUCUUCAUGAAGAUUGGUCGUUUCUGCAUGCAAAAAUUUCAGCUCUACCAAAAGCACUACCAAAGAUUUUGCAGAUAUAGUGAAGGUAAACAGCAUAUGCUAAAUUUUGAUGCAGUCUCUGGCUCAUAACACCUGCAGUUAAUGCUAGCAUUGUUCAGUGAAGUUUAAGAUGUGCAUACGUUGGUUAUCAUUCACACAGUAUUUUGAAUAUACAAAUAACACUACAUAAUUCUGCUGAUUUAGUAGAGACAGUAGAGACAUGAACCACUCGAGGCAUUACAAGACCUUGGUGAGAAGAGGAAAACUCUAGCUCAAAGCUGAUGUCCUACGGUGACAGACAGGGUCCUGGUUCAUCAAACAAAACAAAAACCAAAACAAACAAACAAACAAAAAUACUACAACAAAAAACACCUUAUGAUUACUCAGACAUUUACAAAAUACUGUAAAGCCUAACUUGUGGCAUGACUACAAGAAAAGGACACAUGCAAUGACACUGAGCGAUCGACUCAAAUACGCUAUAAAAUAACAGUCCCAAAAUAGUAAACCUUGCGAUGAAUUAUUAAAGUUGCUUAUUUUAACAUUUUAUUUACUGAAUUUUGCAUUAUUAAAAUUACAAAUCAUCAACUCACAU
ensembl:lncRNA